rnacentral:lncRNA from 1 species
UUGCUUCUUAUUUCUUUACUCAGUCUUAUUGAAUUUGUUGCCUUAAUUAAUUUUGUUUCCAUAUUUGAAUCAACGAUGUUACGUGUUGAUUCUUACUAAAUGUUUCCUUAAUUGAACUCAUGUUCAGUAGCCCCUAAAUACCUACUCUGUACCUAAAUCUUGCUUGAUUUCUUUCCUUAAAUAUUGACCCUAUUGUCAUUCCCCUAACCCCAAACUCGGUCCUGAUGACGCCUCUCCUGAAGAUAAGGUCAACCAAUUUAACCCAAUUUAUCUUUUAAAGAAGUAAUCACACAAAAUAGUCUAAACAUGAUUUAAUGAUAUUGAAUAGAGGAAAUAUUGAUAACAAUCUGGAAAAUCCUACCCAACACAACCCUAACCAGGGUGUCACAAGUCACGAGUAUCUCUAAACCAUGAUACAAGUAUGCUAAAGUCAUAAACUACUAUAAAUGUUUGAAAAGGAUCAAAAGUGAAAGAGAGAAAGAGACACGGGGCUGCGGACGCCAACAUCUACCUCGUAAUCUCCGAAAGCCACCUGGAACUGGAGGAAAUUAGCACUUAGGAGCGGUACCAGCAGCGCCUGAAUCUGCACACAAGGUGCAGAGAGUAAAGUGAGUACUCCAACUCAGUGAGUAACAAAUGUAAAUAACGACUGAAAGUAAGAAAACAUGUAAAACACAAGGCAUUCUAUACUGAAGCAGUAAAACAAUGAAGAGUCAAGUAAAAUCCUUUUUCAACAAGCAAGUAAGUUAUUGACAGGUAAGUAAACAAAUAGAAGUUCAUAUCUCGGGCACAAUAUCUACAAAUCCGCCCCUCAGGAAACAUCUUAGAACCACACUAGCCCCUCGAGAUCAAUCUCACAUCACAAUGGGUACCGGUGCUCGCUGGGGGUGUAUAGAAUCCGGGAGGGGCCCUUUGCGGCCCAAGCGCAAUAUCAAGCCAUCUCGUGGCAUCAAAUUUGGGCUUUCAACCUCAUAUUAAUCAAACCACCUCGUGUCAUAUAUAAGAGUCUCAGGCUAACCUCCAAAACCCAUUUCGAUCACACUCCUAAGUCAUAAAUUCCCCCUCGAAUCUAACUAAACCAUCGAAACUCACAUCUGAGCUCUCUAACACAUAAGUCAAUAUCCAGUUGACUUUUCCAACUUAAAUUAUCUUAAAAGAGACAAAGAGUCACAAACCUUAUCAAAAUCAUUCCAAAC